rnacentral:lncRNA from 1 species
UAUGAAGGCAAGCAUAAAUAGGAGUCUUAGUUUUGAUCAUGGAAGUACGAAGAAAGAGUGAAAACAAAUAUAGAACCUUUGUUGAAGGAUGUUAUGAAGAUCAUCAUCAACUUUAAAGAAAUCUCUAGAAUCUUGUGAUUGCUUCCACUUGUGUAUUUUUGGUAGUUGCUGAAACCAUCUACAAUUGACGCCAAGGUGGAGAAAAUUCUAGACAAGCUGCUUUAUUAUUUUCGUCACCAAUUGCAAAGAAUGAUCUAGAAUUAUCAAAGGCCAUUUCCACCGCCAUCCUAGAAGAUUCAGCCACCGACCUUGCAUGUGUAUAUAUAUGUGUGUUCGCCGUGUGUAUAUGGGUAGAGAAAAGAAAAGAGAGAUAGAAGCAGCAGUACAUAUGUAGAGAGAGUGAUAAAGAGAUAGAUAUAGUGGGUGAGAGAGAGAAUUGUGCUGAUGAAAAUAGUUAGUUAGGUAUUACAAUUAAUAUCGAAUUGCUUGCUUAGAGUGUGGAAGGGUGUAUUUGUCAAAAAUUAAUUGUACAAGUUCCUUGUGUAAUAAAAACAAUUUCUUGUGUGUUCCAAAUUCAACAAUUGGUAUCAGAGCAAGGCAGUCUGGGAAGGAUUUUUUGAGCUUCUUGAGUUCUUGCACAAAAGGAGUCUGUGAAGCUUUUGUAAAUUUUGCUUGAUUAUGAGGAGGUAAAUCAAGUCAGGAUGAACGAUCUACAAGUGGUAGGCGGUGUAAAGAAGCUCAAUAAUCAUAAUUACACCACAUGACAAACUUGCAUGGAAUCGUAUCUCCAAGGGCAAGAUCCGUGGGAGGUAGUUGGCGGAAGUGAAGUAACGCCACCAGAGGAGGCCGGAGCUUUGAAGAAAUAGAGAAUCAAAACGGGUAAGACUUUGUUUAUUAUAAAGACAACAAUCGAAAAAGAAUUAUUAGAGUACAUAAGAGACAAGAUUAUACCAAAGGAUGCAUGACACACUUUGGCCUCACUAUUCUCAAAGAAAAAUGCCUUGAGGUUGCAAAUUCUAGAAAACGAGUUUCUCUCGAUCACUCAAGGAUAAUUAACCGUAAGCCAAUACUUUAAUAAAGCUAAAUCUCUCUGUCGUGAAUUUCCAGGUAUAGAUGCUUCAAGUAAAAUUUCGGAGUCGAAAAUGAGAAGAAUAAUUAUAUAUGGUUUGAGAUUCAAAUUUAGAAGUUUCAUCACUGCAAUACAAGGUUGGCCAGAGCAGCCUUCAUUGGUCAAUAUUGAGAAUUUGCUAGCUGAUCAAGAAGCAUUAACAAGACAAAUGUUAGGGGUCUUACUAAGAAAGAAGAGGAAGAAGCAUUAUUUAGUUAUAAAAGAAGAGAUCGACUCCAUGAACAAAAUAAUAAAGAAUUAGUAGAAGAUAAAUUUAAAGGAUGGGUUGAAGGAAGUUACCAGACAAGGAGAGUUCAAUGAAGCUGCUAUAGGAGAGAUCAACCAUUCAAGUGAUUCGAACGAAAUAAUGGCUCAUGUUUUAUAUGUGGUAAACGAGGCCAUUAUGCAAAAGAUUGCUGGUUUAAAAAGGAGCCAGCAGAAGGCAAUAUGACAACCUCCAAUGAAGAGAAAUAUGAUAGUGAAAAAGAAUGGGACAUUGAGGCACCGAUAACAAUGAUUUAGCAGACUCGAGAAAAGAAAUUCAAUUCGAGUUUAAAGAAUGAAUCCGCAAUGGUGGUAGUCCUGCGUGAUCAAUUAGAUUCCAAAGAUGAUUGGGUUAAUGAGUCAAAAGAUGAUGACUCAUAAGAAGAUUGGAUCGAUGACUCAAAAGAGGAAAUCGAGGUUCAGGAAGAGUCUUCAGGGUGGAUUUCGCAGAGGGAGAAACUACCAGAUUCAGAAUUAGAAGAAGUGUUUGAAAAAAUGUAGACACCGCAGAGGGUGAAUUUGCUAGAGCAGAUACCGCAGAGGAUGGAUCUACUGGAUCAAACACCGUAGAGGGUGGAGCAGACACCAAAGAGGGUGGAGCUGCUAGAUUUAAAAAAAAUGGAUGACAAAUUGCAAGAGGAAAUCACGGAAGCACGACAAGCCCUAGAGAAAGUAAAGAUUUGUGAAUACUAAGUAAUAAAUAAAUGUUUAUUAGAGCAACACAGAGUACAAAGGAUAAAAAAUGUUGACAAGCUAUUAAGGUACGUAUAAAUCCACAAUCACAAAUUAGAAAAUCGGGACGACGUGAGAAUUCAAGCACCAAGUAUCCUAAUCUAAAAAUCAGAGAAAAUGAAAGCAUGGAAGAGAUAAAUACAUUCGAAGUGGCAAAUAUGUUGAAUGAAGAACCAAGCACUUCAAAAUUUGUUGAGGCAAAAUUAAAUGUGACGAAAAAGAAAAGAGUCAAAAUGGAAAGUCGGUGCUGAAGGAGAGAAUUGAAAAUCAUCACCGACUUUAAAGAAAUCUCUAGAAUCUUGUGAUUGCUUCCACUUGUAUAUUUUUGGUAGUUGCUGGAACCAUCUACAAUUGACGCCAAGGUGGAGAAAAUUCUAGACAAGUUGCUUUAUUAAUUUCGUCACCAAUUGCACGAACGGUCUAGAAUUAUCAAAGGCCAUUUCCACCGCCAUCCUAGAAGAUUCAGCCACCGACCUUGCAUGUGUAUAUACACGUGUGUUUGCCGUGUGUAUAUGUGUAGAGAAAAGAACAUAUGCAGGGAGAGUGAUAAAGAGAUAGAUAUAGUUGGUGAGAGAGAGUUGUGCUGCUGAAAAUAGUUGGUGGGGUGUUACAAUUAAUAUCGAGCUGCUUGCUUAGAGUGAUGUUAUUUAGAGUGUGGAAAGGUGUAUUUGUCAAAAAUUAAUUGUACAAGUUGCUUGUGUAAUAAAAACAAUUUAUUGUGUGUUCCAAAUUCAACAUGUUAGAGCUGGCAUCAAGCAAUGUUGCAGCCAUAACUUCUUUCUUUACCGGAAUAACCAAAACUAAUUCUCAACGAAAAAAUAGCUACUUCAAGUUCAAAGAGGUCUGAAUUGGAAAAGGAAGAGACACGUGAGUUGUUAAAAAAGAGAAGAAACUGAAAUUCGAUCACUUGGAAUAGAA